AGAACGAACGUUGGCGGCGUGGAUUAGGCAUGCAAGUCGCGGGAAUCCCAGCAAUGGGGGAACCGGCGUAAGGGGCAGUAAGGCAUGGAUCACCUACCCUGUGGUUCGGGAUAGCCCAUCGAGAGAUGGGGUAAUACCGGAUGAUGUCGAGAGACCAAAGCUCCGGCGCCGCGGGAGGGGUCCAUGUGGUAUUAGCUAGUUGGUGGGGUAACGGCCCACCAAGGCGUAGAUGCCUAGCGGGUGUGAGAGCACGACCCGCGCCACUGGCACUGAGACACUGGCCAGACACCUACGGGUGGCUGCAGUCGAGGAUCUUCGGCAAUGAGCGCAAGCUUGACCGAGCGACGCCGCGUGUGCGAUUGAAGGCCUUCGGGUUGUAAAGCACUGUCGAGGGGGAGAAAAGCCCGCAAGGGUGUGAUCUAUCCCUGGAGGAAGCACGGGCUAAGUUCGUGCCAGCAGCCGCGGUAAGACGAACCGUGCGAACGUUGUUCGGAAUCACUGGGCUUAAAGGGCGCGUAGGCGGGCUGCCGCGUCCGGGGUGAAAUCCCACGGCUCAACCGUGGAACGGCCUCGGAUACGGGCGGUCUCGAGGGAGGUAGGGGCACGCGGAACUGUGGGUGGAGCGGUGAAAUGCGUUGAUAUCCACAGGAACUCCGGUGGCGAAGGCGGCGUGCUGGACCUCAUCUGACGCUGAGGCGCGAAAGCCAGGGGAGCAAACGGGAUUAGAUACCCCGGUAGUCCUGGCCCUAAACGUUGGGUACUAGGUAGUAGACCAGACAUGGGUUUACUGCCGGAGCAAAAGUGCUAAGUACCCCGCCUGGGGAGUAUGGUCGCAAGGCUG
rnacentral:rRNA from 1 species